UACGGGGGGGGGCAAGCGUUGUUCGGAAUUACUGGGCGUAAAGGGCUCGUAGGCGGCCAACUAAGUCAGACGUGAAAUCCCUCGGCUUAACCGGGGAACUGCGUCUGAUACUGGAUGGCUUGAGUUUGGGAGAGGGAUGCGGAAUUCCAGGUGUAGCGGUGAAAUGCGUAGAUAUCAUAAGGAAGACCAGUGGCGAAGGCGGGUCUCUGGACAGUUCCUGACACUGAGACACGAAGGCCAGGGGAGCAAACGGG
rnacentral:rRNA from 1 species